rnacentral:rRNA from 1 species
GACGAACGCUGGCGGCGUGCUUAACACAUGCAAGUCGAACGGAAAGGCCCUGCUUUUGUGGGGUGCUCGAGUGGCGAACGGGUGAGUAACACGUGAGUAACCUGCCCUUGACUUUGGGAUAACUUCAGGAAACUGGGGCUAAUACCGGAUAGGAGCUCCUGCUGCAUGGUGGGGGUUGGAAAGUUUCGGCGGUUGGGGAUGGACUCGCGGCUUAUCAGCUUGUUGGUGGGGUAGUGGCUUACCAAGGCUUUGACGGGUAGCCGGCCUGAGAGGGUGACCGGCCACAUUGGGACUGAGAUGCGGCCCAGACUCCUACGGGAGGCAGCAGUGGGGAAGAGUGCACUAUGCGCGGAAGCCUGAUGCAGCAACGCCGCGUGCGGGAUGACGGCCUUCGGGUUGUAUUCCGCUUUCGCCUGCGACGAAGCGUGAGUGACGGUAACGGGUAAAGAAGCACCGGCUAACUACGUG